rnacentral:lncRNA from 1 species
GUAUCUGAAAAACAGUCUGAAAGAAAUACCUGUAACUUGGCGUUUAUUUGCAUGUGCACAUUGUGAGGGCAACAUAUCAUUUUUAUUGCAGUGUGAACUGUGAAUUAAUAGUUGCGUUUGAAUCAAUUCACUGCUGUAUUAGCAGCCAGUGAAACGUAUCUCACGGCCAUCAUUAUCAUCAAGUGGUAUGCAAGAUGAUACAAGAUAAGAUCUGAAAUUUUCUCAGGUGUAAUAUUAACAGGAACCCGACCAUUUGGAAAAUUAAAUAAUCGCAUACAGUGAAGGACAGCUUAUAUAUUAGAUUAUACUGCUUUUUUUGCACCAUGCAAAUAUUUUUGUUUUUACAGUCUAAGUAACUGCAGUGUGCCUUUUUCCCCCAGAGUGCCCUCUCUCUGUGAGGGACCUCAAGCUUCACUUUGACAUCACAAGUUACUUUCACUCAGAGAUCCAUGAUUUCUUGCAGCCUGUCAUGUCCUCAGCGUCCUUGACGCCCAAAUGUGUGGAGAGUUGGUGGUGCACUAGGAGGAAGAUGUCAUGCUAAGGAUGGGUUUUUGGUGAUGAUGUCGCUGCUGUUGAUGCAGCAUCGAGCUCUCACUUUGUGCCUCUGUCAGCUAUGAUGCGUAACCACACAGUGAAUGACAGGCCAGUCCCUGGGGAGAGCAAGGGGCCUGAGGUGAGUCAGAUGUAUCCUUGACCCUGUCUAGCUGUGUGUCAGCAAGCCACACAAACUCAGUAAAAAAGAGAAAAGACCAGAACUGGCAUGACUGUACAUUGUACAUCUUAAUAUAGUAAAAGGACUGUAAGACAGAGUUUUUAAGAAACGCCUAGAAACACCAACUUAAAUGCUUCUGCUCAAGAAAAUCUAGAUUUCAUAACAUAGACUCCC